rnacentral:rRNA from 1 species
AACGAACGCUGGCGGCAGGCUUAACACAUGCAAGUCGAGCGAGACCUUCGGGUCUAGCGGCGGACGGGUGAGUAACGCGUGGGAACGUGCCCUUCUCUACGGAAUAGCCCCGGGAAACUGGGAGUAAUACCGUAUACGCCCUUUGGGGGAAAGAUUUAUCGGAGAAGGAUCGGCCCGCGUUGGAUUAGGUAGUUGGUGGGGUAAUGGCCCACCAAGCCGACGAUCCAUAGCUGGUUUGAGAGGAUGAUCAGCCACACUGGGACUGAGACACGGCCCAGACUCCUGCGGGAGGCAGCAGUGGGGAAUCUUAGAAAAUGGGGGCAACCCUGAUCUAGCCAUGCCGCGUGAGUGAUGAAGGCCUUAGGGUUGUAAAGCUCUUUCAGCUGGGAAGAUAAUGACGGUACCAGCAGAAGAAGCCCCGGCUAACUCCGUG